UACGGGGGGGAGCAAGCGUUGUUCGGAUUUACUGGGCGUAAAGGGCGCGUAGGCGGCGCAACAAGUCACUUGUGAAAUCUCCGGGCUUAACCCGGAGCGGUCAAGUGAUACUGUCGUGCUAGAGUGCGGAAGGGGCUACUGGAAUUCUCGGUGUAGCGGUGAAAUGCGUAGAUAUCGAGAGGAACACCUGCGGCGAAGGCGGGUUGCUGGGCUGAUACUGACGCUGGAGGCGCGAAAGCUAGGGGAGCGAACGGG
rnacentral:rRNA from 1 species